GAAAAAUAACAAGGGAGGUUCCCUUUUCUCUGCUAGGCCGCCGCCGUCACGCCUCCCUCUGUCCGGUGGCCGGAGCCAUGCGAGGACGUCACCCCUCGGCGCACUGAAGCGCAUUCGGAGGUCGAGGCCAUGGAACAAGGGACUGAGGGGAAAAAGAAAAGCUUUGGCCUCUCUUUAAAUCCACAUCCGGCGACGGUGAAGCGCCAUCGACGGCGGGCCUGAAGGCCGAUUCAAAUGUCAGACGCGUGGAUGGCCGGCGAUAGGCGGAUCUCAAGCGGUGGCGGCGUGCGCAGAGGCUGGCAGAGGCGUGCGUUGGUGGUGCUUAUAUCAAUAUUAUGAUCAUGAUUUAAGGAGUGACCAAAAUAUUAAAUGUUGAUAAUUUUAAUAAUUAAAAUAGACUUUUUUAAACUUAAGUGACUAAAACAGUAAUACACACUAAUAAUUGAAUGAUUAUUUGUAUAACUUACUUUAGAUAUUAUUAUUAUAUAAUGACUUAAUUGUAAAGAAAAGAAUAGGAAAUGUUUUAAUGAUUGCUUUUGUGCUUUA